CUAGUCACCAGACUGUGAUGCUCUUAACCAUGUGGAAAGUAGUAUUUUUACCAUAUGGCCUGAAUUUCUCUUAUAAGUCUGAUGAGUGCAUUGCAUGCUGCUGGAAUAUAGUGCCAAACUGGAUUAGUCCAUUGACAGAGCAGGGGAAAUACACCAAACCCGAAAUCUUUGGAGACAGUGGUAAGUCACCAAUUCCAUUAUCUUGUGAAAUAUUAGUUUUGACCAUUGCAUGGACCAUAAUUACCAAAUGAAUUAACAUAACCCCUACUCCUUUUCAUUUUAGUUUAUUCCCCUACCCCCCGUGCUUUAUGGAUCUGUCUAUUCAGUUUCUGGUCCUG
rnacentral:lncRNA from 1 species